rnacentral:rRNA from 1 species
AUUGAACGCUGGCGGCAGGCCUAACACAUGCAAGUCGAACGAGUGGCGGACGGGUGAGUAAUGUCUGGGCAACUGCCCGAUGGAGGGGGAUAACUACUGGAAACGGUAGCUAAUACCGCAUACUAUCGGAUGAACCCAUAUGGGUUUAGCUAGUAGGUGGGGUAAAGGCUCACCUAGGCGACGAUAGCUAGCUGGUCUGAGAGGAUGAUCAGCCACACGGGGACUGAGACACGGCCCAGACUCCUACGGGAGGCAGCAGUGGGGAAUAGUGCACAAUGGGCGCAAGCCUGAUGAAGCCAUGCCGCGUGUAUGAAGAAGGCCUUAGGGUUGUAAAGUACUGUCAGCGGGGAGGCGUUACCCGCAGAAGAAGCACCGGCUAACUCCGUGCCAGCAGCCGCGGUAAUAC